rnacentral:lncRNA from 1 species
GUAUUUUAAAAGAAAAUUUGGAAAUUGGGGAUCGAAACACAAUUUAAAAAAAUUGUGCCACGUAGGACGCUUAGUCAGCAGCCCCGACGAACCGGAACGUGCGGAUGUGGUACCACGCGAGAGGCCACGCGAGCAAUCCGCAUGCCCGCGAUCAGACAGCCCAUAUUCAUUUUUGCGCGCACAGAUGGCCUAAAUCCACUUCUUAUUUAAACGCGAUCGAACGAUCUAGAUCAAAUCGUGAUGGGCGAUCCAGAUUUACUCCCUAUUUAAUCGCAAUCGGAC